GCUCGAGUGGCGAAAUGGCAAACGCAGCAGGCUCAGAACCUGUGGCUUCAAAGAGAGCUUGUGAGUUCGACUCUCACCUCGAGCACCA
rnacentral:tRNA from 2 species